GCGCCUGUAGCUCAGUUGGAUAGAGCAGCUGGGUUGACUCGCUGCGCUCGCCCUGCGGGCGCACUUCGUGCGUCUGUCGGCGCUUCGCGCCUCGGUGCGAACCAGCAGGACGGGGGUUUGAGUCCCUCCAGGCGGUCCA
rnacentral:tRNA from 1 species